GGACAUUACCGAGUUUACACUCCCAAACCCCUGUGAACAUACCAAUUGUUGCCUCGGCGGAUCAGCCCGCUCCCGGUAAAACGGGACGGCCCGCCAGAGGACCCCUAAACUCUGUUUCUAUAUGUAACUUCUGAGUAAAACCAUAAAUAAAUCAAAACUUUCAACAACGGAUCUCUUGGUUCUGGCAUCGAUGAAGAACGCAGCAAAAUGCGAUAAGUAAUGUGAAUUGCAGAAUUCAGUGAAUCAUCGAAUCUUUGAACGCACAUUGCGCCCGCCAGUAUUCUGGCGGGCAUGCCUGUUCGAGCGUCAUUUCAACCCUCAAGCCCCCGGGUUUGGUGUUGGGGAUCGGCGAGCCCUUGCGGCAAGCCGGCCCCGAAAUCUAGUGGCGGUCUCGCUGCAGCUUCCAUUGCGUAGUAGUAAAACCCUCGCAACUGGUACGCGGCGCGGCCAAGCCGUUAAACCCCCAACUUCUGAAUGUUGACCUCGGAUCAGGUAGGAAUACCCGCUGAACUUAAGCAUAUCAAUAAGCGGAGGAAAAGAAACCAACAGGGAUUGCCCUAGUAACGGCGAGUGAAGCGGCAACAGCUCAAAUUUGAAAUCUGGCUCUCGGGCCCGAGUUGUAACUUGUAGAGGAUACUUCUGAUGCGGUGCCUUCCGAGUUCCCUGGAACGGGACGCCAUAGAGGGUGAGAGCCCCGUCUGGUUGGAUGCCAAAUCUCUGUAAAGUUCCUUCGACGAGUCGAGUAGUUUGGGAAUGCUGCUCUAAAUGGGAGGUAUAUGUCUUCUAAAGCUAAAUACCGGCCAGAGACCGAUAGCGCACAAGUAGAGUGAUCGAAAGAUGAAAAGCACUUUGAAAAGAGAGUUAAAAAGUACGUGAAAUUGUUGAAAGGGAAGCGUUUAUGACCAGACUUGGGCUUGGUUAAUCAUCUGGGGUUCUCCCCAGUGCACUUUUCCAGUCCAGGCCAGCAUCAGUUUUCCCCGGGGGAUAAAGACUUCGGGAAUGUGGCUCUCUUCGGGGAGUGUUAUAGCCCGUUGUGUAAUACCCUGGGGGGGACUGAGGUUCGCGCAUCUGC
rnacentral:rRNA from 1 species